UGUUAUGGCGGCUGUGCGUGGGAGACCGAAAGGUCUGCCGGUCUCCGUUUGGGCCGGUCCGCGAACCUGCGCACAGCUGCCACCCUA
rnacentral:antisense_RNA from 1 species